GCUCUGGUAGCUCAGUGGUAGAGCGCAUCCUUGGUAAGGAUGAGGCCGGGGGUUCAAUCCCCCCCCAGAGCU
rnacentral:tRNA from 1 species